UCACAUUUUCAUCUUAUCAACAACGUCCGGCAAAGGUUACAUCUAUUGGAAACAUCUGUGUUUGAAACCCUAAAUCAUGUACCGUCGAGUAGUUGAAGAACAGAAUAAUCAUAAGAAGAAGAAGCUCUCCUAGGGUUUCUUAUCGUACACAAUGAACGCUUUUGUACAACCUCCUGUUAAUCGGUGACCCUGAAGUAACCUUUGCCGGAUGGUUGUUGAGGAGUUGGAAAUGUGAAAGAGAAGGAGAAUGACGCAAGUUCUACUUGAUUAUUCAUGUGGCAACUUUAUAUUUUCAGGCUUAUGAAUUAAGAUCACCCGUCAUCUUAAUUUGAGCAAUUAAACGGAGUUUUCUUAAACAACACGAUAAGUUUCAUUCAUUAAUCCAUGCAUUUGUUAAUUCCUCAUGUUUUUUUUUUAUUCUUAAUCGUUGA